GACGAACGCUGGCGGCGUGCUUAACACAUGCAAGUCGAACGGAAAGGCCCCUUUGGGGGUACUCGAGUGGCGAACGGGUGAGUAACACGUGAGUAACCUGCCCUUGACUUCGGGAUAACUUCAGGAAACUGGGGCUAAUACCGGAUAGGAAUCCUUGCUGCAUGGUGGGGGUUGGAAAGCUUCGGCGGUUUUGGAUGGACUCGCGGCUUAUCAGCUUGUUGGUGGGGUAGUGGCUUACCAAGGCUUUGACGUGUAGCCGGCCUGAGAGGGCGACCGGCCACAUUGGGACUGAGAUACGGCCCAGACUCCUACGGGAGGCAGCAGUGGGGAAUAUUGCACAAUGGGCGGAAGCCUGAUGCAGCAACGCCGCGUGCGGGAUGACGGCCUUCGGGUUGUAAACCGCUUUCAGCAGGGGCGAAGCUUGUGGUGACGGUACCUGCAGAAGAAGCACCGGCUAACUACGUG
rnacentral:rRNA from 1 species